rnacentral:snRNA from 1 species
GUGCUCGCUUCGGCAGCACAUAUACUAAAAUUGGAACGAUACAGAGAAGAUUAGCAUGGCCCCUGCGCAAGGAUGAAGCUGUGGCCAAAGUAUCUCUUUCGU